rnacentral:rRNA from 1 species
UGAGCUUGAUCAUGGCUCAGAUUGAACGCUGGCGGCAGGCCUAACACAUGCAAGUCGAGCGGAAACGAUGGAAGCUUGCUUCCAGGCGUCGAGCGGCGGACGGGUGAGUAAUGCAUGGGAAUCUGCCCGAUAGUGGGGGAUAACCUGGGGAAACCCAGGCUAAUACCGCAUACGUCCUACGGGAGAAAGCAGGGGAUCUUCGGACCUUGCGCUAUCGGAUGAGCCCAUGUCGGAUUAGCUUGUUGGUGAGGUAAUGGCUCACCAAGGCGACGAUCCGUAGCUGGUCUGAGAGGAUGAUCAGCCACAUCGGGACUGAGACACGGCCCGAACUCCUACGGGAGGCAGCAGUGGGGAAUAUUGGACAAUGGGCGAAAGCCUGAUCCAGCCAUGCCGCGUGUGUGAAGAAGGCCCUCGGGUUGUAAAGCACUUUCAGUGGGGAAGAAAGCCUUGGGAUUAAUACUCCCGAGGAAGGACAUCACCCACAGAAGAAGCACCGGCUAACUCCGUGCCAGCAGCGCUG